GGCUGCUGGGCGACCUUUCCCGCGAAGGAGGUUGUGCCUUCAUUCGGUCGCGCCCCGGGCUGGGGAGGCACCUCCCUGGUGCGCAGGAACCGCAGGGGCGGGUAGGAGCCUGGCUCUGCCUGAGCUCCGGAGGGAGCAGAGCUGGCACCGCGCAAGGGCCCCUGCCUCCCGGGAGACUGGGAUUUCUGGCCUCCUCACCUCGGGACCGCUGACUGUGGAGUGUCAAAGACGGAACAGGGUUUAGUGAUCUUGUCCAACCCCCUCCCCGCUUUUCACAGACUGGGGAAAUGGACGCCUGGAGAACGGAAAUCCAGUUAUCAAAAUUGACUCCAGAAGAGAGAACCUAACAGAACAAUAACAAUGGAAGAAAUUGGGAAUAUUAUCAAAAAGCUAUCAUUCUGUUAAACUCCAGGCUUGGAUGGUGUUACAGGUUUAAAAAAAAAAAAAGAAAAAGUCCUUCAUGAAAAAAGAAGAACUUAAGCAACAUGAUGGAUUCAGAAGCUCAUGGAAAGAGACCACCAAUACUAACAUCUUCGAAACAAGAUAUGUCACCUCAUAUUACAGAUUUAGUGAAAUGAAGCAUUACUUGUGUGGCUGCUGUGCAGCCUUCAACAACGUCGCAAUCACAUUUCCCAUUCAGAAGGUCCUCUUUCCACAACAGCUGUAUGGCAUCAAAACGGGGGAUGCAAUACUUCAGUUGAGAACGGAUGGAUUUCGAAACUUGUAUCGGGGAAUCUUUCCCCGAUUGAUGCAGAAGACAACUACACUUGCACUUACGUUUGGUCUGUAUGAGGAUUUAUCCUACCUUCUCCACAAGCAUGUCAGUGCUCCAGAGUUUGCAACCUGUGGCGUGGCAGCAGUGCUUGCAGGGACAACGGAAGCAAUUUUCACUUCAGACAUUGCUUCAAGACCACAAGCACCAUGACAAAUUUGCCAACAUUUAUCAGGCUUUCAAGGCACUGAAAUGUCAUGGAAUUGGAGAGUUUUAUCGAGGUUUGGUGCCCAUUCUUUUCCAGAAUGGACUCAGCAAUGUCUUUUUUUUUUCGGCCUUCGAGGUCACGUUAAGGAGCAUCUGCCUACCGCGACGACUCACAAUUCUCAUUUGGUCAAUGAUUUUAUCGGUGGAGGUCUAUUGGGUGCCAUGUUGGGAUUCCUGUUUUUUCCAAUUAAUGUUGUAAAAACUCGCAUACAGUCUCAGAUUGGUGGGGAAUUUCAGUCUUUCCCCAAGGUUUUCCAAAAAAUCUGGCUGGAACGGGACAGAAAACUGAUAAAUCUUUUCAGAGGUUCUCAUCUGAAUUACCAUCUGUCCCUUAUCUCUUGGGGCAUAAUCAAUGCAAAGGUUAUAUGAAAAAAAACAUCAGUUAAGUGCCACUUAUCAACUGAAUAGACCUUCUAAGAAGAAUGCAGUUUGGCCUCUUCCUUAAUUGGCCAAAUACAAGUUGGUGUCAUAACUCCAGGCCACACUUUUGAAGACCAGACUGCAAAUAUAUUACCAGGGAUGGUUUUGUGUUGUCCUACAGACUUCUUAAAUUUGACAAAAAUUCAGCUGAACUUGUAACCAACAGCUUUGUCUGAACUUGAAGUCAAAAUGUGUUGUUAAUAAGAGAUUCUAGCUAUUGCUUUUACCUUCAGUGUGAACCAGUGUGGUAAUAAUUUUGAAAAAGCAGGCUGGACACAGUGGCUCAUGCCUGUAAUCCCAGAAUUUUGGGAGGCCGAGACGGGCACAUCAUUUGAGGUCAGGAGUUCAAGACCAGCCUGGCCAACAUGGUGAAACCCCAUCUCUAUUAUAUAAGAAAUUAGCAGGGCAUGGUGGCACAUGCCUGUGAUCCCAGCUACUGAGGAGGCUGAGGCAGGAGAAUCACUUGAACCCAGAAGGCGGAAGUUGCAGUGAGCCGAGACAGUGCCACCGUACUCUAGCCUGGGCGACAGAGCAAGACUCCAUCUCAAAAAAAAAAAAAAAAAAAAACUUGAAAAGGCAAACAUGAUUGAAUAUCUGAAAAGCUUUAAAAGUGCCCUUUCUGUUACAUAUGUGGCACAAAUGGCUCAUGAGAGCAGGACAUUUAUGGUCUUGUGUCCUAUACUUCAUGUCUGAUGCCAUCAGAAAUGUUAUGGAUUCUGGAUUUAACACACUUAGAGUGAUAUGAUCCCUCAGGACUGCACCACAGAGUAAACACAACCUUUAUAUGGUGGCGAAUAUGUGUGUCUUUCUUGUUUCAUUUGUGGUUGGGGACAAAAUCGAUGUUUUUGUCUAAAUAGUCAAUAUUCAUCUUAACAUGUUUGGCUGUGUAAUCACCGGCUAUAUUGUGAACUGUGCAAUAAAACAGAAACAUGUGUGUAUAUAAUUACCUUUGGAUACCUGAAAUUCCCAAGCCCAGUUACAAUGUAAUACUCAGUAUAAGGCUGUGCAAACAUGUAAGGAAAUAAUGGUGGUCGAUGGGAUAUAUGAAAUAGGAUCUAGAGGGCUUUGAGUGAAGACAAUCAUGUUGAACUAACACUGGUUCAGUGUAGAUGAAGUAGAGUGAGGGGUAUGCAGUCAUAAUAUGAAGGGAGAACAGGAGAUUACAUUUGAAGAAAGGGUAAGCACUCAGACUUGGUUUCUUUUAAAUUAAAAUAUUUCUUUUAUCAUGUGCAAAUGCAUAUCAAAGACUUGAACAGGCAUUCUCUUGAAAUUUGAGGAUUUUUAGUUUUUAAUGCUGUCUUUGUUUAAUAUUAAAUACAUGUUGCCUAGUGGCUCCCAAAUUUUGUGGGAGUCUCUAAAUGUUUCCUCUUAAAGGUUCAUUAUUAAAAGUGGUUAAGCACACACUGCUAUUUUUGUUUGAUAGUUUGAGUUUUAUGACCAUAUGAGUUUAAAUGAAAUCUGUUAAAUGUUCCAGAGUUAACACUUUUUUUGGAUAAUUUGGAAUAAAGUUUGUUUUUCAAGUCAAAAAAAAAAGAAAGAAAGAAAA
ensembl:lncRNA SLC25A51P4 SLC25A51 pseudogene 4